rnacentral:rRNA from 1 species
GUGGGGAAUUUUGGACAAUGGGCGCAAGCCUGAUCCAGCAAUGCCGCGUGCAGGAAGAAGGCCUUCGGGUUGUAAACUGCUUUUGUACGGAACGAAACGGUCCGGGUUAAUACCCUGGGCUAAUGACGGUACCGUAAGAAUAAGCACCGGCUAACUACGUGCCAGCAGCCGCGGUAAUACGUAGGGUGCAAGCGUUAAUCGGAAUUACUGGGCGUAAAGCGUGCGCAGGCGGUUUUGUAAGACAGGCGUGAAAUCCCCGGGCUCAACCUGGGAAUUGCGCUUGGGACUGCAAGGCUGGAGUGCGGCAGAGGGGGAUGGAAUUCCGCGUGUAGCAGUGAAAUGCGUAGAUAUGCGGAGGAACACCGAUGGCGAAGGCAAUCCCCUGGGCCUGCACUGACGCUCAUGCACGAAAGCGUGGGGAGCAAACAGGAUUAGAUACCCGAGUAGUCC